AGGAACGUUGAAGACGACGACGUUGAUAGGCCGGGUGUGUAAGCGCAGCGAUGCGUUGAGCUAACCGGUACUAAUGAACCGUGAGGCUUAACCUUACAACGCCGAAGCUGUUUGG
rnacentral:rRNA from 1 species